GUCUCUGUGGCACAAUCGGUUAGCGCUCUCGGCUGUUAACCGAAAGGCUGGUGGUUCGAGCCCACCCAGGGACU
rfam:TPA: Bos taurus chromosome 3, whole genome shotgun sequence.